ACUGGAAACACCAUAAUGGCUCCUGCGUGUGUCUCCAAAUCCAAGCCCUCAACCAGAAACACCAGAGAGGCUCCUCCAGGGUCUCCAGCUGCACGACCCACAAACUGAAAACAACGCUCCACCCUGUAUCUCCUGCUCCACGACCCUCAAACAAAGACACCAGGAGCGGCCAUUCCGACAUCGUCACCUCGAUGACCCUCAACUAGAAACACCAACUCCGGCUCCUCCAUGGCUCUCCAGCUCCACGACCCUCAACUAGAAACACCAACUCCAGCUCCUCUAAAGGUCUCCAGCUCCACGACCCACAAAUCAGAAAACAACGCUCCACCCUGUAUGUCUAGCUCCACAAUCCUCAACGAGAAACACCACCACCGGCUCCUACACGGGUCUCCAUCUCCACGACCCACAAACUAGGAAACAACGCUCCACCCUGUAUCUCCAGCUCCACAAUCCUCAAAGAGAAACACCACCACCGGCUCCUCUGCAGGUCUCCAGCUCGACCACCCA